AAGUCGAACGUUCACUUCGGGGUAGCAAUAUUCCGGGGUGGGAGUGGCGAAAGGGUGCGUAACGCGUGGGUAAUUUGCCGUGAAGAUGGGGAUAACUUGCUGAAAGGCGAGCUAAUACCGAAUACGGUGUCCGGGAGGCAUCUCCUGGCCAUCAAAGUUGGGGACCGCAAGGCCUGACGCUUCAUGAUAAGCCCGCGACCUAUCAGCUAGUUGGUGAGGUAACGGCCCACCAAGGCUUAGACGGGUAGCUGGUCUGAGAGGACGACCAGCCACACUGGAACUGAGACACGGUCCAGACACCUACGGGUGGCAGCAGUCGAGAAUUUUUCACAAUGGGCGAAAGCCUGAUGGAGCGACGCCGCGUGGGGGAUGAAGGGCUUCGGCCUGUAAACCCCUGUCAUUUGCGAACAAACCUUUUCACUGAACAAGUGAGAAGCUGAUAGUAGCGAAAGAGGAAGGGACGGCUAACUCUGUGCCAGCAGCCGCGGUAAUACAGAGGUCCCAAGCGUUGUUCGGAUUCACUGGGCGUAAAGGGUGCGUAGGUGGUCGAAUAAGUCUGAUGUGAAAGCUCCGGGCUUAACCCGGAAACGGCAUUAGAAACUGUUCGGCUGGAGGAUUGGAAGGGAGACUGGAAUUCUCGGUGUAGCAGUGAAAUGCGUAGAGAUCGAGAGGAACACCAGUGGCGAAGGCGGGUCUCUGGACAAUCCCUGACACUGAGGCACGAAAGCUAGGGGAGCAAACAGGAUUAGAUACCCUGGUAGUCCUAGCUGUAAACGGUGCACAUUUGCUGUAAGAGGAUUCGACCCCUUUUGUGGCGAACUAACGCGUUAAAUGUGCCGCCUGGGAAGUACGAUCGCAAGAUUAAACUCAAGAAUUGACGGGGGCCUGCACAAGCGGUGGAGUAUGUGGCUUAAUCGAUGCAACGCGAAAACCUUACCUGGCCUUGACAUGUAUCUAGUAGAAGGGUGAAGCCUGACGAGGUAGCAUACCAGGAUACCAGGUGCUGCAUGGCUGUCGUCACUCGUGCCGUGAAAUGUGGGUUAGUCCGCAACGAGC
rnacentral:rRNA from 1 species